rnacentral:rRNA from 1 species
AGCGUAGGCGGCCUGGUAAGUGGGAAGUGAAAUCCUUCGGCUCAACCGAAGGCCUGCUUUCCAAACUGCUUGGCUCGAGUCCGGGAGGGGAGACGGGAAUUCCUGGUGUAGCGGUGAAAUGCGCAGAUAUCAGGAGGAACACCGGUGGCGAAGGCGCGUCUCUGGACCGGUACUGACGCUGAGGCUCGAAAGCGUGGGGAGCAAACA